ACGGCUCAGUAACACGUGGACAACCUACCCUGUGGAGGGGGAUAACCCCGGAAAACUGGGGAUAAUACCCCAUAGGUUAGGGUGGCUGGAAUGCCCCCUAGCUCAAAGGUCCGCCGCCACAGGAUGGGUCUGCGGCCGAUUAGGUUGUUGUUGGGGUAACGGCCCAACAAGCCUUUGAUCGGUACGGGUUGUGGGAGCAAGAGCCCGGAGAUGGAUUCUGAGACACGAAUCCAGGCCCUACGGGGCGCAGCAGGCGCGAAAACUUUACAAUGCGAGAAAUCGUGAUAAGGGAACCCCGAGUGCCCGUAAAUUCGGGCUGUCCGCCAGUGCAAAAAACUGGUGAAGAAAGAGCCGGGCAAGACCGGUGCCAGCCGCCGCGGUAAUACCGGCGGCUCGAGUGGUGGCCACUAUUACUGGGCUUAAAGCGUCCGUAGCUUGGUUGUUAAGUCUCCUGGGAAAUCCAUCGGCUCAACCGAUGGGCGUUCAGGAGAUACUGGCAACCUAGGGACCGGGAGAGGUGAGAGGUACUCCAGGGGUAGGAGUGAAAUCCUGUAAUCCUUGGGGGACCACCUGUGGCGAAGGCGUCUCACUAGAACGGCUCCGACAGUGAGGGACGAAAGCUGGGGGAGCAAACCGGAUUAGAUACCCGGGUAGUCCCAGCUGUAAACGAUGCGCGUUAGGUGUAUCGGUGACCACGAGUCACCGAGGUGCCGAAGGGAAACCGUGAAACGUGCCGCCUGGGAAGUACGGUCGCAAGGCUGAAACUUAAAGGAAUUGGCGGGGGAGCAC
rnacentral:rRNA from 1 species